CCUACGGGAGGCUGCAGUGAGGAAUAUUGGUCAAUGGACGAGAGUCUGAACCAGCCAAGUAGCGUGAAGGAUGACUGCCCUAUGGGUUGUAAACUGCUUUUAUAAAGGAAUAAAACGAGGCACGUGUGCCUUUUUGCAUGUACUUUAUGAUUAAGGAUCGGCUAACUCCGUGCCAGCCGCCCCGGUAAUACGGAGGAUCCGAGCGUUAUCCGGAUUUAUUGGGUUUAAAGGGAGCGUAGAUGGGUUGUUAAGUCAGUUGUGAAAGUUUGCGGUUCAACCGUAAAAUUGCAAUUGAUACUGGCAGUCUUGAGUGCAGUUGAGGUAGGCGGAAUUCGUGGUGUAGCGGUGAAAUGCUUAGAGAUCACGAAGAACGCCGAUUGCGAAGGCGGCUUACUAAACUGUGACUGACAUUGAUGCUCGAAAGUGUGGGUAUCAAACAGGAUUAGAUACCCGAGUAGUC
rnacentral:rRNA from 1 species